GGGAAUUAGGCACUCCCGCCAGUGAGCCUUCUUCCACCUCCACGGCGAGCGGAGCGGCGGGGACCAAGACGGUGACGCAGGUGACGGCGGGUGCCUUCCUUCCUUUUUUCUUCCGUUCCACUCGCGGCGGUUUCUCUCUCUCAGCGCUCUACUUUUGGUGCCCCACAGCAUGAACGCACGCCGCCCGUUCGACGAAAUGCUCCCUCACAAGCGGCCCAGGAACGAGCAAGAGACACCUGCGGAGAGCGAGGUGGACGCAUCAGCGACCUCCCAGAGGGCGUUUUCCACCACUUGCUGUCGCUCAUGCCGGCACAUGACGCGGUGCGGACGUGCGUGCUCGGCCAGCGCUCGGGCCACCUCUGGAGGUCUGCUCCGGCCAUCAGCUUUACCACUUUCGACCGGUUUAUUAGGAGCGCGGACAGGUUCAACCAGUUCGUGGACCACCUGCUUCUGCUACGUCGCCACGGAGCGCCUCUGGAGUCAUGCAAUUUUCUUCUCGUCGAGACCGAGGUGUAUUCUGCUGUGUUCCUGGCCGCCAACGAGCGUACCGUGAACGGCUGGAUCAGUCGUGCUUUGUGCCUCCAAGUCAGGGUACUCAGGUUCUGUCUUGGAUUCGACGACCUUUUUUGGCUACCUAACACACCUCUCUUCUCCCAGCACAUCAGUGUUAGUGCUUGACGGUGUAACUACCAACGAAAGAGUUCUUGAUUUUUCGGGCUGUCCAUUGCUAGUUGAUCUUAAAAUGGAGUGUUGCUUUGCAAAUUCUGAUUAAAUUUCAUCAUCAUCUUUGAAACAUCUGCGGAUGAGUUCCUGCAUAUUUUAUGAUAAUCACCGGACCCGAUUAUCUUUACCCAAUAUUGUUUCGUUGGAACUGGACUAUAUUCCGAGUAGGACUCCAUUGCUUGAAAGCAUGCCAUCCUUGGUAACAGCAAUCGUCAGGCUUGGGUGUGAAUCUUGUGAUCGUUGUGAGGAGGGCGAACCUGGUGGUUGUGAUGAUCAUAAAUGGGCACUCUGUGAUCCUUCAAGGUUUAUUGCAAGCUACAUCCUUGGAGUUAUCAUCUGAACCUGCUGUGAUUGUUUUCAAAAGGGACAUAAAGUGGUGCCCUACAUUUAGCAAGUUAAAGACUUUGGUUCUGGAUGAAUGGUUUGCGACUGAUGACCUCAGUGCAUUAAUUUGGUUUCUCCAACACUCGCCAAUUCUAGAGAAGCUUUCUCUUCAACUUCCAGUGGUGGUACCCAAAAAAUCAGUGAGAAGAUACAGUCCAAUUGAACAAUCAGUUGCAUCUGAUUAUCUUGAAUUAGUUGAAAUCAAAUGUCAAGAGAUAGAUGAGAUGGUUGUCGCGAUCUUGGAGAUUUUAAAUGUCUUUGGCGUACCACUGGAGAGAAUUCAGAUCCAUAAGAUUUCAUGUUUUGGCUGUUUUAACUUUGUAUGUACGGGUUUCAACACCAAAUAGAGCUUCCAGUUAUGUUUGGACAUGCUCGAGGAGCCAUGGAGAUUCACCAUUUUCGAGGGAGGAGGUUUGGUUAUUCAUUGAUGUAACGUCUGCUGAUCAUCCGAGAUGUACGCAACAUGUUCCCAGUAGGGAUGUUGCUGUCCUACAUUGAUGACCUCUUACCUGUUCCGUUUGCACGAAUGAAUCUUGAAGUUCCGUUG